GUGAGGAAUUUUCCGCAAUGGGCGAAAGCCUGACGGAGCAAUGCCGCGUGAAGGAUGAAGGCCUAUGGGUUGUAAACUUCUUUUCUCAGAAAAGAAUUAUGACGGUAUCUGAGGAAUAAGCAUCGGCUAACUCUGUGCCAGCAGCCGCGGUAAGACAGAGGAUGCAAGCGUUAUCCGGAAUGAUUGGGCGUAAAGCGUCUGUAGGUUGUUUAAAAAGUAUUCUGUCAAAGAUUAGGGCUUAACCCUAGAUAGGCAGAAUAAACUUUUAAGCUAGAGUUUGGUAGAGGCAGAGGGAAUGCCCGGUGGAGCGGUGAAAUGCGUAGAUAUCGGGAGGAACACCAAAGGCGAAGGCACUCUGCUGGGCCAAUACUAACACUGAGAGACGAAAGCGAGGGGAGCAAAUGGGAUUAGAAACCCUAGUAGUCC
rnacentral:rRNA from 1 species